rnacentral:tRNA from 2 species
GCCGAGAUAGCUCAGUCGGUAGAGCAGUGGACUGAAAAUCCAUGUGUCGCCGGUUCAAUUCCGGCUCUCGGCA